rnacentral:lncRNA from 1 species
GGGAGGAGGAGGAGGUGAGGGCAGCGCUCCCGUGAGACAGUUUGCUUCAGUGUUUUCAUCAGCACAAAACCUUUCGUAGGAGGGAAUUGAAUUGUCCUUUCGAUAACGUCUGAUAAUAUUCUUAAGAGACACCGAACCCCCAAGUAAUUGGUUACAAGAAAACAAGACUUUAUUGAGUGGUCAGCUGUGACCUACGGGAAAGAAGCUGCGGUGCACUCACCCCAUCUCCCCGGAGUCUUAACUGUAAACAGAAGCAACAGUCAGGACCUAAAC